AACCAUUCUCACCUGCGGCUAGACCUGCGGAGGGAUCAUUAAAAAAAAUCCUUUUUGCCCGUGGACCUCGUCUAAGGCGCAAAAAAACCCACACUGUGUGCACCGUUAUCGUUUCUUUGGCAGGGGCUUGGGGUUUAUUUUUAAACCUCAACUUCUCCUCCGGCUCUAUCCCAACACACCAUCUCGGCGCGCGGGACAGCUGGACAUGGGAAGCAGUUUACCCUGCCAAGUAAAACCUCA
rnacentral:misc_RNA from 1 species